CUCGGCACCAUGCUGUGAGAAGGCCCAGGCCUCAGCCCAGCUCCAACAGCCAGCCAGCGAACACGUCAUGGAAGAACAUAGAUCCAAAAGGCCCCAGGUGAGCCGCCCCAGCUGAUGCCGUGUGAGACACAGGUAAAUACCUAGGAUUGGAAUGGUUGGAUUCUAAGGGCGGUUGAAUGUGAAAGGGUCCUACAAAUGUGGUCAUGCGGUGUUUUAAACUGUCUAUAACCAACUGCUACGACGUCUGCACAAACCCAGCCCGGAGGUCCCUGAGUGCCAAAGCUGCCCUUCAGGACUCGCGUCCGCUACCUGCAAAGCCCGGAGCGGAUCCUACCCCUGCGGCUGCUGCGACAGAGCUGCUGCCUCACCUGAGGCUUCCACGAACAGCAGCAUCAGAGACAGCAGACAACUAGCACCACUGAAUUACGAGGUGACGUCACCGCAGUCCUCUCCACUCCAGAAGGAAAUGCUGUCAGGGCACAACCAGUCUUCCCACGUGAAAACGGUGCCUUCUCCAAUCCACGCUUGGCGGCCGAAAUUAAUUCUCCUUUAGAGUAAGGUUAAAAAGCGAGCACUGCAUCUGCAUUACGGAGCUGAACUACGCACAUCAAGUUACCUAUUACCUGCCAAGGAUUACCUUAAAAGAUUCCAAUGUGGUCUUUAGAAGCUACAGGCUUAGAGGGGAGCCUGGUACGCGGAAGCACGCCGCCAGUUCUGGCUUUUCUGCCGUUCCUUCCCCAGGCUCCACCAGACCCCCGCACCGCCCACCUUCCUCAGCACCGCUCUGCGAAGCAGUUAAAAGAAAUGAGAGAGACUUUCGAGUUC